rnacentral:rRNA from 1 species
UACGUAGGCACCAAGCGUUGUCCGGAUUUAUUGGGCGUAAAGAGCUCGUAGGCGGUUCGGUAAGUCGGGUGUGAAAACUCUGGGCUCAACCCAGAGAGGCCACCCGAUACUGCCGUGACUGGAGUGCGGUAGGGGGAGUGGGGGAAUUCCUGGUGUAGCGGUGAAAUGCGCAGAUAUCAGGAGGAACACCAGUGGCGAAGGCGCCACUCUGGGCCGUAACUGACGCUGAGGAGCGAAAGCGUGGGUAGCAAACAGG